GACGAACGCUGGCGGCGUGCUUAACACAUGCAAGUCGUACGGUAAGGCCCUUUCGGGGGUACACGAGUGGCGAACGGGUGAGUAACACGUGAGUAACCUGCCCACAACUUUGGGAUAACGCUAGGAAACUGGUGCUAAUACUGGAUAUGUGCUCCUGCUGCAUGGUGGGGGUUGGAAAGCUCCGGCGGUUGUGGAUGGACUCGCGGCCUAUCAGCUUGUUGGUGGGGUAGUGGCCUACCAAGGCGGCGACGGGUAGCCGGCCUGAGAGGGUGACCGGCCACAUUGGGACUGAGAUACGGCCCAGACUCCUACGGGAGGCAGCAGUGGGGAAUAUUGCACAAUGGGCGCAAGCCUGAUGCAGCAACGCCGCGUGCGGGAUGACGGCCCUCGGGUUGUAAACCGCUUUCAGCAGGGACGAAGCUUUUUGUGACGGUACCUGCAGAAGAAGCACCGGCUAACUACGUG
rnacentral:rRNA from 1 species